GAGACAGUGGCUUCUUUCAACAGGACUACUAACAGACUAACAUCAAGCUGGGGGCUGUGACAAGCUUUCAUGCUGAGAGGCUAAAAGUUCAUAAAGAGGGUACUGAUAACCUCACAGCCAGGACUGUUCCUGGUAGAUAUCCAUAGAAAAGAGAACUCUGGAGCUGCAGAGAAGCCUGUCACCAUCCAUGCCACCCCAGAGGGGACUUCUGAAGCAUGCCGCAUGAUUCUUGAAAUCAUGCAGAAAGAGGCAGAUGAGACCAAACUAGCCGAAGAGAUUCCUCUGAAAAUCUUGGCACACAAUGGCUUGGUUGGAAGACUGAUUGGAAAAGAAGGCAGAAAUUUGAAGAAAAUUGAACAUGAAACAGGGACCAAGAUAACAAUCUCAUCUUUGCAGGAUUUGAGCAUAUACAACCCGGAAAGAACCAUCACUGUGAAGGGCACAGUUGAGGCCUGUGCCAGUGCUGAGAUAGAGAUUAUGAAGAAGCUGCGUGAGGCCUUUGAAAAUGAUAUGCUGGCUGUUAACACCCACUCCGGAUACUUCUCCAGCCUGUACCCCCAUCACCAGUUUGGCCCGUUCCCGCAUCAUCACUCUUAUCCAGAGCAGGAGAUUGUGAAUCUCUUCAUCCCAACCCAGGCUGUGGGCGCCAUCAUCGGGAAGAAGGGGGCACACAUCAAACAGCUGGCGAGAUUCGCCGGAGCCUCUAUCAAGAUCGCCCCUGCGGAAGGCCCAGACGUCAGCGAAAGGAUGGUCAUCAUCACCGGGCCACCGGAAGCCCAGUUCAAGGCCCAGGGACGGAUCUUUGGGAAACUGAAAGAGGAAAACUUCUUUAACCCCAAAGAAGAAGUGAAGCUGGAAGCGCAUAUCAGAGUGCCCUCUUCCACAGCUGGCCGGGUGAUUGGCAAAGGUGGCAAGACC
rnacentral:sRNA from 1 species